UGCGAAGAGCAUCCAACAGACGGAGGAUGAAAAUUUAGUUUCGAGUGGUUAUCCUUGAAUUUUCUCUCCUGGAACUUGCAGUGUUAUCAAGUAUCCGAAUAUAGUUGAUGAUCGAGGGAAAGCAAGAAAUUUUCUCGCGCAAAAAAUGAUAUCAAACACUAAAAUAAAACACAUUUUUUAUUAUCUGAGAUGUAUCUGAGUACCUUCUUAUCUCGCGUUUUUGUUGUUAUGUAAACAGAGAUCAGCUGUUAUCGUGGAUGAGCCUCUUGUUUUUAGGUUACGAACCAAAGCAAAAGGUGUUUCGUGUAGUUCCAAAGUUGUAAGUUGAUCAACCUCGCUCUGCAAUUAACUUUAAAACCAACCUUGUUCUCAUUAUACUAAGUAAGUAUGGAAGGACAAAACAAUUUCGACGCCCCUUCCUCCCCGUGCGGAUGUCCUAUUAUGACUGACGAGCAAGUUAACGGCUUGGCGCACGGGCUGGCAUCCAUAAUCCGGGGAUUCGCCAUAGGAAAAACUGUCAUCGAAGGGGCAGCUAUCGCGAACGCGGUUACAGCAGCCUUAUUAGAGAAUCUGGCCUGUGCGAAGGCUGAGGACUCGGCUAAGGACUCGACUGAGGACUCGAAUAAGGACUCGACUGAGGAUGUUUCAGAGGAAAUCAGAAAUCCCAGAUUCAGAGGAUGCCGUCGAUUGCAACGAGGAUUAAUUAGCUGA
rnacentral:lncRNA from 1 species